UACGAAGGGGGGCUAGCGUUGUUCGGAAUUACUGGGCGUAAAGCGCACGUAGGCGGAUAUUUAAGUCAGGGGUGAAAUCCCAGAGCUCAACUCUGGAACUGCCUUUGAUACUGGGGUAUCUCGAGUACGGAAGAGGUGAGUGGAAUUCCGAGUGUAGAGGUGAAAUUCGUAGAUAUUCGGAGGAACACCAGUGGCGAAGGCGGCUCACUGGUCCAUUACUGACGCUGAGGUGCGAAAGCGUGGGGAGCAAACAGG
rnacentral:rRNA from 1 species